UUCACCGUGCCUCCCUUACUUGAGAACGAACUCCGCCAUGCUGGAAUUCGCCAUCGGCAGCGGCAGCGGCAGAUACUCAAACCACCGAAAUUCUAUACCAUUACAAACAUCUCAACCUCCUCUACUCAAAUUCAAACAUAAUUUCGUCCAAUUCCUACCGCAUCAUCCUAACCGAAAUGAAAACAUAUAUGAACCCUAGCUAAGGAAUUCGAAAUUAAAUCCUAAGGAGAAGGAAUUAAAGCCAAUAUGGUUAGGGCUUUAACUCUUGGGAUUGAGAGCUACAAUGAGGUAAGAAGAAACGUGGAAUUGCUUACCUGCCGGAGUAGUUCCGAUGACUCUUCAGAAGCGACGUCUGUCCAAGGAAUCAUAAGAUUUUCCCCCUUCAAGCUGGCCGAAUGGCUACACGGGGAAUGAUCUUGAGUUGCUACUUACAUGGAGUUUUGCAGGCUGUUAUGGUAUAGGGCUGUAGCAAAUGGUUCUUUCUACAGGACUUAAAUUUAACUGUCAUGGAGCUAUUUUGGAUUGUUGAGCUGUUAUAUGAACUCUGCUAAGUAUUUUCCAUACUUGAAUUUCCUCGGUUCUGUUAUACCCUGUUAUUGCUAUGCUUGAUUAUAAAUUGUCAUGCCAUUGUUAUGGACAGAUCUACUAUGGGCCUGCUCAUUGUUGGGCUGCAACUUGUUGUGUAUACAUAGUUGUUCAUGUUGAGUCAUGUGUUGGAUAUUGAAUGGCUUGCAUUGCCUGCUGCUAAAGGGCUGCAAGGCAAAGAAAAUCCCAAAUGCAAGGCAUGACCAUGUUUAAGGUGUGGCAAGGCCAAAACCAAAUGGAUGCAAAAAAGAGAUUUCUUGCUCAUGAAUCAAAUGACCAUGGAAUCUUAUACAAGAGUGAAUAUGUUAUUAGUAUUAGGGUUUAGGUCAUGUAAAAAUAUGUUGGUUGGCUUUGGCCAACUCGUGUCGCAUCUCGAAGAAACACACUUACAAAACAGAGUCACCACCAAUGAUAUUUAUCCCAAAAUCGGGAAAGGAAUCACUGGGUAAACCUACCAAAGGGUGAAUCUAAUGGUCUUGUGACCAAGAGAUGGGUAAGGGAAUCGAUUACGCAAAGAGAAGGUAUUAACAUCCCAAACGUCUGUAGUACUCUACAGGAUCCACUCUUGUUGUUCUAAUCAAAAGGGCGUGUUUAUUCUAAAACCUACUGACUAAAAGGGAAUUCAUGCAAAAAGAUUGAAUUAUAAACAAAAAUAAAGUUUUUAAUUAUCGUGCUCGCUUAGGUUUUGCAACCCAAUGCCUACGUAUCAAUAAAGAAUCAGAGCACCGUAGUUCUUCCAAAAAAUUUGGUUUGUUGGUGCUUUUUAUGGGUAACCACCCUUAUUGAAAAUUUUCAUAAGAAAUUCCAAAUGGAAAAAGAAAUUUGAUUGGUUGAGUAUUCUGUUGAAAGAAUACAUCAAAUGAUCCACCCAAAGCAGGAGGUAUAUA